rnacentral:rRNA from 1 species
UACGAAGGGGGGCUAGCGUUGUUCGGAAUUACUGGGCGUAAAGCGCACGUAGGCGGAUAUUUAAGUCAGGGGUGAAAUCCCAGAGCUCAACUCUGGAACUGCCUUUGAUACUGGGUAUCUUGAGUAUGGAAGAGGUUAGUGGAAUUGCGAGUGUAGAGGUGAAAUUCGUAGAUAUUCGCAGGAACACCAGUGGCGAAGGCGGCUAACUGGUCCAUAACUGACGCUGAGGUGCGAAAGCGUGGGGGAGCAAACAGG